AUGCCUUUAGCUCUGCACCUCAGUUCUCAGCUGCUUCACAGUUUUCCACCAUGGAAAGUCUCAGGCCCAACCCAAAACCCAUUGGCACAGAUCACUGACAAGAGCAAAAAUCCAAGAAGAGGGGUUGUUUUCCUCCACUGAAAUACCACAUAUGCUGAAAUGUCUGAGUCACUUUAUCUCAGCCUGUUCCUUCACUGUUGGAUUACAUUUUCAAGGAGAAACCUUUUCCAGUCAGCACUGCAGAGCAUCUCUUUAAAAGGAGCUGGAGGUACCUGUUUUUCCUGGUCUUUUUGAACAUAUUCUUUCAUUCCAAACCCAAUCUGGAUUCUUUCAGAUCCUAGAAAGAUCACUUGAAUUUUAUGCUAAACCCUUUAUGGCAACAGGGCUAAGGACUCACGUAGAAAUGAAGCACAAAUAGCUUGCUGUAAAAAGAGAGCCUUUUGCAGACCUUUUUUAAAGGUGAAUGUUUAUGUACAAAGUACCAGCUCAAGAUUUAGGUUUUCUAAGAGCACUGCAGCAGAAAACCAGAAAU
rnacentral:lncRNA from 1 species